UUCGCAAUGCCCGAAAGGGUGACGAAGCGACGCCGCGUGUGGGAAGAAGGCCCUAGGGUUGUAAACCACUGUCAGGAGUUAAGAAAUAUAGAGGUGUUAAUAGCGCUUCUAUUUGACGAAGGCUCCAGAGGAAGCCACGGCUAACUCUGUGCCAGCAGCCGCGGUAAUACAGAGGCGGCAAGCGUUGUUCGGAAUUAUUGGGCGUAAAGAGCACGUAGGCGGCCUUGCAAGUCAGUUGUGAAAGCCUUCCGCUUAACGGAAGAACGGCAUCUGAUACUACAGGGCUUGAGUACGGGGGGGAGAGUGGAACUUCUGGUGGAGCGGUGAAAUGCGUAGAUAUCAGAAGGAACGCCGGCGGCGAAAGCGACUCUCUGGUCCGAAACUGACGCUGAGUGUGCGAAAGCUAGGGGAGCAAACGGGAUUAGAUACCCCGGUAGUCCUAGCCGUAAACGAUGGGCACUAAGUAGAGGGGUUUU
rnacentral:rRNA from 1 species